UCCUUCAAAACUUGGAACAUAACAACAAUGUUCACUAUCACCAUUUCUCUUCAGCGUCACCCUGGAGAUCCAGACCAGCACAGUAAGAUGAGGAAGGAGGCACAAAACAGAAAGACCCAGCUAAGGCUCCUGAGGACCCAUCCAAGGCUGGCUUUGUGUAAAAACAGUCCAUUUCCUCUUGCGCGGCUCCAAGCUGGAGAAGAAUUUGGCGUAGCAGCUUCUGAGAAGUUGAGGGAGGGGCCAGGCGGAAACUGUCCUGGAGCAAGCACUGAAAGGAGCAAUGCACUUGGUAUACUCAGGGCCGAAACACUUCCAGUGGAGGUCACCUGCAGCCAUUGGCAGCCUUAUUUGCAUUUUCUGAAGCCUCCUCUUUUCCCUAUCCUUGGAGUCAAGUCAGACUGCUGAGAAGUCAGAAGUCUCCCUCCGAAGCAACACGUGGCAUUUUUUCAAGCUGACAGUGUUCAUGGAAAAGGGCAAAGAAUGCUUUUAUGUGCAUUCAGAGAAGUCUCUUAAAUAAACAGUGUUUUCUGUGCCUUGGAACCUGCAAACCCAGGGACCCAGUCCUACUCAUGACAGGCUAAUUCCCCGGCGUUACACAGCCUUCUAGCUAAAUAGAGCAUGUCCAAAAUUUGAGCAUGUCAGAGGCUUGUUAAAACACAGAUUGCUGGGUUCCACCCCACGGGUUCCAUAGGUCUGAGACAGGGCCCCCAAAACAUACAUUUCUAACAAGCUCCCAAGUAAUUCUGAUACUGCUGGUACGGGAACCACGCACAAAACUCUAGAGAGAGAUUUGUAGAAUUCUUGCUGCUCUGUUAACACAUGUA
rnacentral:lncRNA from 1 species